UUUCAUGAUGUUCUUACUUUGCUUCGGCAAGUUGGAAUUACCGACUGAAAUAUCUUUUAAUGAAGACACAAAUGGCUGUUUCUGAUU
rnacentral:snoRNA from 1 species